AGAUGGUUCUUUGCAAGAAAUUGUCGAUAAGAAAAUUCGUCCUUUAUUUGGUCUGAUGUCAGCUGGUGCCAAGUUCUUUCACAGUCUGGGUGUGAAAAACCAAAAGGAAGCAUAACAUUUAUGGGAACAGUUUAUUUCAAAACACUGAUGUUCGAGAUAAUGUUGAAGGCUUACUACAUCUGGAAGCGGAGUGGGAUAGUUUUUUGAGACGUCUGGAUGUUCAGAUGCAAAUGAGCGACACAGUUCUUUCCCGGUGUCCUGCAGCCCAGACGCUCAGCUCAGAUAUACAGUUUAUUCACGUCCAGACUAAAGAGUGAGAUAAACACAUAAUAUCAUUUCUAUCCAUAUUCAAGCCACAAUCCAGAACUGCUGACAGAGUAUGUCUAUUGAAACAAAAUGA